CUAUANUGCAGUCGANGAGUUCUGAUUAUUGAAAGGUGCUUGCAUCUUGAUUUAAUUUUGAACGAGUGGCGGACGGGUGAGUAACACGUGGGUAACCUGCCCUUAAGUGGGGGAUAACAUUUGGAAACAGAUGCUAAUACCGCAUAAAUCCAAGAACCGCAUGGUUCUUGGCUGAAAGAUGGCGUAAGCUAUCGCUUUUGGAUGGACCCGCGGCGUAUUAGCUAGUUGGUGAGGUAACGGCUCACCAAGGCAAUGAUACGUAGCCGAACUGAGAGGUUGAUCGGCCACAUUGGGACUGAGACACGGCCCAAACUCCUACGGGAGGCAGCAGUAGGGAAUCUUCCACAAUGGACGCAAGUCUGAUGGAGCAACGCCGCGUGAGUGAAGAAGGCUUUCGGGUCGUAAAACUCUGUUGUUGGAGAAGAAUGGUCGGCAGAGUAACUGUUGUCGGCGUGACGGUAUCCAACCAGAAAGCCACGGCUAACUACGUGCCAGC
rnacentral:rRNA from 1 species